CUGACACAGUCACAUGGGUCGAUAUUGGUGUAGAUAGCCCGGUUCCCCUCAAACCUUCCUCAAGGAAGGUGCAAAAGGGCGAGCGUGUCAAUGUCAG
rnacentral:ncRNA from 1 species